rnacentral:rRNA from 1 species
UACAGAGGUCUCAAGCGUUGUCCGGAAUUAUUGGGCGUAAAGAGCUCGUAGGCGGCCUGUCGCGUCGGCUGUGAAAACCCGGGGCUCAACCCCGGGCCUGCAGUCGAUACGGGCAGGCUAGAGUCCGGUAGGGGAGACUGGAAUUCCUGGUGUAGCGGUGAAAUGCGCAGAUAUCAGGAGGAACACCGGUGGCGAAGGCGGGUCUCUGGGCCGGAACUGACGCUAAGGAGCGAAAGCGUGGGGAGCGAACAGG